rnacentral:rRNA from 1 species
AUUGAACGCUGGCGGCAUGCCUUACACAUGCAAGUCGAACGGUAACAGGUCUUCGGAUGCUGACGAGUGGCGAACGGGUGAGUAAUACAUCGGAACGUGCCCGAGAGUGGGGGAUAACGAGGCGAAAGCUUUGCUAAUACCGCAUACGAUCUCAGGAUGAAAGCAGGGGACCGCAAGGCCUUGCGCUCACGGAGCGGCCGAUGGCAGAUUAGGUAGUUGGUGGGAUAAAAGCUUACCAAGCCGACGAUCUGUAGCUGGUCUGAGAGGACGACCAGCCACACUGGGACUGAGACACGGCCCAGACUCCUACGGGAGGCAGCAGUGGGGAAUUUUGGACAAUGGGCGCAAGCCUGAUCCAGCCAUGCCGCGUGCAGGAUGAAGGCCUUCGGGUUGUAAACUGCUUUUGUACGGAACGAAAAGACUCCUUCUAAUAAAGGGGGUCCAUGACGGUACCGUAAGAAUAAGCACCGGCUAACUACGUGCCAGCAGCCGCCGUAAGAC